CUGAAAUGAAGGAACCCAAUUUUUAAAGUAUUUUAAUGUUUUUACUAUGAAAGAUUCAUAAAAUUUCUGGCUGACACAUGCCAUAAUAGAUUUCUGAGAGUGAGUUCCUGUGUGUGUGUGUGUGUGUGUGUGUGUGUAUGUUAGGGAAGACGGAGUGGAGCUUUGCUAGCACCGAGUUUGUACAAUCUGACAAAUGGCUCAGA
rnacentral:sRNA from 1 species